rnacentral:rRNA from 1 species
GGGCUCGCAGGCGGUUUCUUAAGUCUGAUGUGAAAGCCCCCGGCUCAACCGGGGAGGGUCAUUGGAAACUGGGGAACUUGAGUGCAGAAGAGGAGAGUGGAAUUCCACGUGUAGCGGUGAAAUGCGUAGAGAUGUGGAGGAACACCAGUGGCGAAGGCGACUCUCUGGUCUGUAACUGACGCUGAGGAGCGAAAGCGUGGGGAGCGAACAGGAUUAGAUACCCUGGUAGUCCACGCCGUAAACGAUGAGUGCUAAGUGUUAGGGGGUUUCCGCCCCUUAGUGCUGCAGCUAACGCAUUAAGCACUCCGCCUGGGGAGUACGGUCGCAAGACUGAAACUCAAAGGAAUUGACGGGGGCCCGCACAAGCGGUGGAGCAUGUGGUUUAAUUCGAAGCAACGCGAAGAACCUUACCAGGUCUUGACGGCGUCUGACAAUCCUAGAGAUAGGACGUCCCCUUCGGGGGCAGAGUGACAGGUGGUGCAUGGUUGUCGUCAGCUCGUGUCGUGAGAUGUUGGGUUAAGUCCCGCAACGAGCGCAACCCUUGAUCUUAGUUGCCAGCAUUCAGUUGGGCACUCUAAGGUGACUGCCGGUGACAAACCGGAGGAAGGUGGGGAUGACGUCAAAUCAUCAUGCCCCUUAUGACCUGGGCUACACACGUGCUACAAUGGACAGAACAAAGGGCAG